UUUGUUGAAUCAGUACAAUUGAGCAACAUGGACACCAACGCUAACCAAUCAUCAAUCAACCUCUCUGAGUAAAAGUCAAGUUUGAUGGUUAAUUCACCAACGGCAGCCGAUCAAUUCAGCAAACAGUGAAAAUUGGUUUUUAUCAAGUCACUAUCAACAUUGAUUACCAUCCAAUGGUUUCCCUUUUGAAUCGACAAAAGGUGAUGUACAGUAAAUUGGAUCCUUCACUAACACUUAUGUUAAUCAAGAAAGCAAUUGUUGGCGUAAACUGAAACAAUCCAUAUCGAAAGGCCCAAAUUUUUUAUUAAUAACACUUGUUACUUGUUGUUACAUUGAAUGUUACACAGUUUAUUAAGAGCUAAUUUGAUUUACUUUUAGCAGCAACAUUUUUGCUGUUCCAUAGCUUUAUUAUUGUUAUUGCUGAUCUUUUUUACCUCUCUCUCACCAUCAACUAUUACUUAUUAUAAUUUGGAAGGUUCUAUUGAUUUCCUGUAAUCAUUUGUGAUUGUAACGAAAUGAGGCAAAGAAGAGUCAACAAAAUGGAUGAAUGAAUCGGAAAUUAAUUUUAUUUUGUUACACGCAACUACAUUUCCUAAACACUAAACAAACUUUAAUCAACAAACCAAAACAAUCUUCAAUCAUCAUUAGUUAAUUAACAACAAUUUCAGUUUUCAAGCGACAUUUUCAUUAGACUCACUUAUAUUUCUUUCUCUAGCAUUUUAUGUUUCAGGUUUAAUAGGACUCAAUUAUGUAUAUUGAAAGGAUUCGUGAAGCUUCCCAAAUCAAAAUUCAAAUCUGAUCGAGGUCUAACUAAGCCUUCACCAAAGUCCUGAAGCAACAGUUGAAUCAAUUUGAAACUCAUUUACAAAUUAUGAUGACAAUGAUUACAAAGAUAAUUAUAAUGGA